GGGAGGAUUUCGAGUAUUUGGAGGGAAUUAUUGAGUGUUUUGUGAGGGACAUACCAUCUUCCCAAACGUGAAUUCACUUUCCGGUGAACUUUAGCCGUGGGGGGAUUUUUUUUUGGAUUUUAGGAAUUGAUUCAGUGUUUAGGGACACUCACCAUUUUCCAACCAUAGUUUUCACUUUUCCGGUGAACUUUAGCCGGAUUACUCUAAAUCACCAUAUUUUCACACAAUCAAUUCUGGGUUUUAAUCGAAAGCAUCGUUUGUUCGUUCGAGUUCGAGCGAAGAUUCGACGACGUCGACGCCCCACUUCACUGUACCCACAAAAGCCGCGAGGAGUUUCGUUUUGACACUCAAUGAUGCUGCCAGGCCUAAACCUGCAUCCAUUUUUCCUCGUCUGUUUCACAACCUCUGAACCAAAGCAACCAGAGGAAGAGAAAAAUAGUUGCAACAUUUCUCGGCAGUCAACUGGCGAAUCACUAAAAUUUCGUUUUUCCACCGAAGCUAAAUAUGGCUUUACUCCAUUUCCCUCUCAUUCGCUGGUGUUGUUUGUUGCUAUAAUGUGUGCUAUAUUUUGUGGUGUGAUUAUUAAUUGUCGAUGUUUCUGCUUUGCUUAA